UAUAACGUCAAGUAAUGACCCGCAAUUGUAUAGAUCUUAAAUCGUAAUUGUAACAUUUUAACGGUUCAAAUUCUAAAAUAUAUAGGACAAUUCGUUUCUAUCGCGAUCGAUUUAAUAACACGUAGAUAUGUAUUACAUCUAUAUCUCAUCUUUAUUCUUCUCUUUAUGCUUCUUUAGACGGUAAGAAGGUUAAAAGCGAAAACUUAUCGAUUAUAAGCCAAAUAUUCUUAACCUAAAAUUUUCUUUAACCCGGUAACUUGAAUUUGAUAAGUAAUAAACGUCCUGGCCUUGAUAAAAACGUCGUGACAUAUCUACGUAUUUCGAGUGAACAAAAUGACGUUAUGGUGAAUGCCAAGCUGGAAAAAACCUAGGUAGCGCUGAUUAAUAAAUGAAUGUAUGCGCGACAAACAAACAAACAAACAAACAAACACACACACACACACACACACACACACACACACACACAUCUACGCCCAAGAAAGAAAACAACAACAAAUGCAAAAAUUAAGUAAAUAGCCAUAAUAUCCAGGAAAGACGACAUGGAGGAGGAUAUCCGAAAUACGAAAUUCCAUUUAAAAGUAACGCAAAUAACGGAAGAAAACGCUCUUCUUCGAGAAGAAAUCGCGAAAUUAGAUGAUAGAAAUUCAAUUUUGGAAAGGCAACAAAAAUAUUUCAAACGUCAAUUGGAACAAAUCCAUGAAAAAUAUAGUGAACUGCAACGAGAAUAUGAUGAACAAAAAGACAUAUUGGAUGAAGUUAGGAGAAAAGAAAAAGACACCAAUAUAGCACUCCAGAAAUCUACAAAAGAGCAACGGAUAUUAUUAACAAGAUUAGAAACGGUCGAAUUAGAGGUUGUAAUGGCGCAAGAAGUAACAAGUCUGAAGGAUAAGUUAAAGAAAGUUACGAAUGAAAGACUCGAAUGUACGAAAAAGAAGGAUGAAAUAGUUGAAAAAUUGGAUGAAAAGUAUAACGAGUGCGAAUCAUUGCUUAUGACAAUUACAGACUUGAAAGAAGCGAAUGAAAAUCUUCGAAGUAAUUACGAAGCGCGCGAGAAUAUGAUCAAAGUGCUACGAGAAAAUAAUCGUCAACUAGAAGAUGAAAAUGCGGAAUUAAAAUUACUCAUAAGUAUGAAUACUCGUACUUCUACAGACAAACUCUCUAAGACGCCACAUUCGAACGCAGAACCAUAUUGCACGGUACACGAUAUUCCAUAUAACAGAUUCAACGAUACGUUUCUUCAAGAUUCCCUGUAUGACGAAUUGAAAGCUUCCGGUUUCACGAAUAUAUGCAGCUGGAAUGAUACGAUAAGCUACGAAUUAAAGAAGCAAGUGCAAUGUUACGAAUUAGAAGUUGAUAAACUUAUACAACAAACAGAAUGUGUUUUCCAACAAUUGGUAUCGGGACGCGACAAGAACUGUCUUCAUCUUAUACAAAAUAUAAACCAUUGUACUGAGAGUUCUGAAAAGAUGACAAAUUUGGAGGUCCUUAAAGAAAGGAUACAAAUUCUUUUGGAUAUGGUAAAGACAACAUCUCCAGAACCUAGAGGUAUUGAAAUUGGUAUUCAAGUGCCGGCAAUUUCUGGAACGAUAAAAAAUUUGCAGGAAUUGUCUAACUUAGACGAGGAAGAUCAUCUAGAAUGCUUUUGUAAAAAAAAUCAAAUAAUCGCAUCUCAUGAUAUAUCGAAAGAGAAACAAGACCAAUUUACUAUAUCUGCGAAAUGUCCUAAAGUAGUAAUGGUGCCGAAAUCCAUCGUCGGCGAUCCAAUCAUACAAGUAUCCGACAAAAGUGUUCGAUGUAUUACAAGUCCACGAAAAAAAAGAUCAAUGGAAAAUAUCAGUUCAACUAGAUUAGAAAGAAGAAAAACUAUUCAUAAGUUAACGUUCUGUAAGAAUUCUUAUAACGACGCUGCUACCAAAAUAAGAGCCGAUAUUAUGGAUGAAGGUAAUGGAGAUUACACGGAUAAUGAAAGAUUUGUACCAUUUAUGGACCAUUUAUCGUUACCAAUAGACUUUAUGGUUACAUCCAAACGAGUCGCAAUAAAGCGUAAUCGUAAAUCAAAGUCCGAAUCUAGUCUACUUCCGGAAAAGAAAGUUUUAUUUUGUCGGCCAUCGUUUAAUGCCUUCAUAAAACCAUUAUCAGCGGAGCCAUUAAUCAAUGAAGCCAUUGAAAUGAGAAAAAAAUCCUUCGACGGAUCAACUUGUGAAGAAGUUGAAAGAGUAAACAAGUUUCCCGUACUGCUCAAACAGAACGAUCGGCAGAAUUUAACAAGCUCUCAUGGAUACGCAUUCGGAGGUACCUAUCGGUCAUUGAACGAUAGUAGUACAGAUUCUUCGGUUAGUUCGUCGUCUCUUCGAUCCGAUAAUCUACUCCCCCAAGAUUUUUCUAUAGACGAGUUGGAACACCGUCCAUUUGAAUUACACCGUCCUGUUCACUUGGCUCCUAUGAAAUUGAAAUUCCCAUCGGAUAAAGCCUCGCCUUUCACCAAAGAGCAACGUUUUACCAAUAAGGAUACGCAACAAGCAGAUUUCACUGCAGCGAGUAAUAAAUUGCUUGAAAAUAUAAAAUCGAAAACGAACAUCCGCGAAACAAAGCAAUAUAAAAUCGUGGAACAUUUUGAGGAAGGUCGUUUAAACAGAGAUUAUUAUAAUGAAAGCCUUAAUAAUCAUCUUAUGGAUAUCAAUAAAGAAAUCUAUUCGAUCAAUAGUGAAACAUAUUUAAUCGAUAAAUUAACGGCACCCAUUUGCCGCGAUAUAACGUCUAUGUAUUUUCGAAGAUUCUCUAAUUUCGAUCGAGAAUGUUAUACGGAAGAUCAUCUACCAGCUGCAUACUCAACACCGAUGCGCAUCGAUUCGAAGGACAAAAAUUCGUCGAAAAGUAAAAAUAAGAAAGAUGGCAACGAUAAUUGUGAGUCGCUCGUACGACGAUUCGCUGAAUUGGAAAUGUCAAGAAAAAAAUUAUCCUUAUUUAGGAUAUACAAGGACCGUUUGAACGAGAUGAAUAACGAGGAACGCCUAGAAAAGGUCGACUCUGGAGAUGGAGAAGAAACACUUUCGAUAUCACUUUGUAGUUUUGCAAAUAACAUCGCGUUGUCGCGAAGUAAACGUGCGCUUACGAACAGGGAGAAUUCCGAUGAUUUUAUACCUAAUGUAGCACAGAGAAACGAUACGGAAGGAAGAACGAAUUGCGCAACUGCAAGGGAAGAAAAGAUCAGGCCGACGUCGUCGGAUGGUGAAAGUCAAAUGUCAGAUAGCAAAGAAAAUUUUCUCGAGAGAACGCAACCGAGAAAGAAUUUGCUAGAAGAAAAUAAGAGCGUACUACAAGUUUGUAAAUUCUAUCAUUCGAGUUCGGCAAAGUCGAAAAUUGUUGGCGAAGAAACAAGAUUACGUACUUCGGUAUCUCAUUCUUUCACGAACAUCCAAAUUCUACCAUCGUGGCGCGCGCUCAUUUUCUAUGCACUGGUAUUUUUUUUCGGAUUUUAUGCAGUAAAUAUAUUUUUAUAUGUCGGGCCACCGUAUAAAUGGUGGUCACUCGAAGAAAUACUCAAUCGAUACUUCCCAAUCACAAAUACGGGAUGUUCACCACCUAUAUGAAUAUUAAGUCGAUUAAUUUUGACAUACAUACAUAUAUGCAUAUAUAUGUUCUGCUAAUACUCUAGCAUGCCCAAAGUGCAUAGUGCGCACCAGUGGCUGCCAUUAUUAAAAUAGUUGCUAGUGGUGCCAACCCGGAUUACUUGCCAACUUCACUCUAAUAAAUCUUGAAGUGCUUCAAGGACUUUACC